rnacentral:rRNA from 1 species
AUUGAACGCUGGCGGCAGGCCUAACACAUGCAAGUCGAGCGGCAGCGGGAAAGUAGCUUGCUACUUUUGCCGGCGAGCGGCGGACGGGUGAGUAAUGCCUGGGAAAUUGCCCAGUCGAGGGGGAUAACAGUUGGAAACGACUGCUAAUACCGCAUACGCCCUACGGGGGAAGGCAGGGGACCUUCGGGCCUUGCGCGAUUGGAUAUGCCCAGGUGAGAUUAGCUAGUUGGUGAGGUAAUGGCUCACCAAGGCGACGAUCCCUAGCUGGUCUGAGAGGAUGAUCAGCCACACUGGAACUGAGACACGGUCCAGACGCCUACGGGAGGCAGCAGUGGGGAAUAUUGCACAAUGGGGGAAACCCUGAUGCAGCCAUGCCGCGUGUGUGAAGAAGGCCUUCGGGUUGUAAAGCACUUUCAGCGAGGAGGAAAGGUUGAUGCCUAAUACGUAUCAACUGUGACGUUACUCGCAGAAGAAGCACCGGCUAACUCCGUGCCAGCCGCCGCGGUAAAAC